ensembl:lncRNA
UGUUAAAGGAAAAGUACUUGAAAUAAUUUCUGACUCGUGUUGUACUUAUAGCAAUUUACCUAUUGGUGUUUUUUUUUUUAUAUUUGUUUUCUUUAGCCUGUCUUUCUAUCUUUCUCUCCACAGAGACUCACUUUUAUACCUACGUGCUUGUACAGACAUACAUUCAAAUGCUCUUUUUCUCUUGCAUGUACCUAACUGUGAUUUAUAGGGUUUCCUGCUCUGGGUUCAUAAAAGCCAUGAUUUCCCAUAAAAUGUCAGUGAUGGUGGUUAAUAUGACACGUAGAGAGUGUGUGCGUCUGCGCCUCAGCGUAGCAGCGGAAACCUUACAGUCAUGUAAAAUAUUGAUAUUCCAUGUGAAAAUGUCAGAAUGAGAGACUGUGUGUAGUGUUGCUCAGCUUCAUGGGUGUUAGAGUCCAUUCUUCCCUUUGUUUCCUGAGGUGAAGCUUUAAAAUUCUUACUGCUAAAUAUUCAUGUGAACCUUUUUGGACUGUCAACUGAUGCAGACAUAAUUGAAUCCUUUAUUGUUUAUGUGUGUUUUUUGUUUCUCUCAGGAUGCUCCUGGAGAAAAGUUCAGAGCAGCGGCUGUUUUUUUCUCUGACCGUGUCUGGGGAAGCUAUCAUUCUGCGAUAUGGUCAGUCCAACAAUCAGACUUCUAUGAACAGCUUUAGAACAGAGGGCAGACUAGGACUGGAGAGCUGGACACAUCUUGUUUUGCAGUAUUCAGAGUCAGGAGAGACUGAAAAACCCACCAGUGAGAGGUGAUGAGACAGAGGCUUUCCACCCCUGAUGAAACAGCCGGAAAAUUCAGCAAUGCGAGGAAGAUGAUGAGGAAGAGGAGCCAGCAGCAGCUCAGAGAAGAUGAGAACAAAUAGCGGUUCUCUGUAGUUUAGAAAAUGGUGGAAUCAUUUAAAAGAAAUUCUAGAUGUUUGUUUCUUGUUUGCAGAGGUAUCGCCAACACAAAAUAUAACAGCUUCAUUCAGGGAAUGACAAAAAUAAAUUUGUGAUGAAUCACUGAUGUUUUUCCUGCAGGAAAGGACAGGGGAAAGAAGGAAAAAUAAAGGCAAGCACAGACAACUUUGACAAUGCUUUGAUGUAUCCAGAAUAUAUUUAGUUAAAAAAUGUUCUUAACGAAGUGGGAUUGUGUUGGUUUUAGUGGAAAACGUAUGCAGCU